AAGUCGUAACAAGGUUUCCGUAGGUGAACCUGCGGAAGGAUCAUUACCAAAUCCAAAAAUACCCAACCCCAUGUUUUUGUCCUUUGGGGGAAAAGAGAUUAAAAAAGUUGGAGGGAUUAUCGGUUAUAAAGGAACCAAAUUUGUUUCUUUUAUAAUCUUAAUCCUUUUCCCCUCUUUUGCAUUUACUUUUCCCCCAAUAGAAUCCUUAAAACAUUUUUCAAUGUUUUUUGUGAUUCUUGAUAAACUACUGAAUUCAUUGUUUUGGAAUAAAAUCUUAAUUUUUAAUUAAAAUGACAACUUUUAACGGUGGAUCUCUUGGCUCGUG
rnacentral:misc_RNA from 1 species